rnacentral:rRNA from 1 species
GACGUAGGGGGCGAGCGUUGUCCGGAUUUAUUGGGCGUAAAGAGCUCGUAGGCGGUUCGGUAAGUCGGGUGUGAAAACUUUGGGCUCAACCCAAAGCGUGCACUCGAUACUGCCAUGACUAGAGUUCGGUAGGGGAGUGGGGAAUUCCUAGUGUAGCGGUGAAAUGCGCAGAUAUUAGGAGGAACACCGGUGGCGAAGGCGCCACUCUGGGCCGAAACUGACGCUGAGGAGCGAAAGCGUGGGUAGCAAACAGG